rnacentral:tRNA from 1 species
GGGAGUUUGGCCGAGUGGUUAAGGCGUCAGGUUUAGGAUAUUGCAUGUAUCAGAAACCCUGAUAUCUUCGGAUGCGCGGGUUCGAAUCCCUCAGCUCUCA